rnacentral:rRNA from 1 species
UAAAAACCCCGACUUCGGAAGGGGUGUAUUUAUUAGAUACAAAACCAAUGCCCUUCGGGGCUCUUUGGUGAUUCAUGAUAACUAUACGAAUCGCACGGCCUUGCGCCGGCGAUGGUUCAUUCAAAUUUCUUCCCUAUCAACUUUCGAUGUUUGGGUAUUGGCCAAACAUGGUUGCAACGGGUAACGGAGGGUUAGGGCUCGACCCCGGAGAAGGAGCCUGAGAAACGGCUACUACAUCCAAGGAAGGCAGCAGGCGCGCAAAUUACCCAAUCCCGACUCGGGGAGGUAGUGACAAUAAAUACUGAUACAGGGCCCUUUCGGGCCUUGUAAUUGGAAUGAGUACAAUUUAAAUCCCUUAACGAGGAACAAUUGGAGGGCAAGUCUGGUGCCAGCAGCCGCGGUAAUUCCAGCUCCAAUAGCGUAUAUUAAAGUUGUUGUGGUUAAAAAGCUCGUAGUUGAACCUCGGGCCUGGCUGGCCGGUCCGCCUCACCGCGUGCACUGGUCCGGCCGGGCCUUUCCCUCUGUGGAACCCCAUACCCUUCACUGGGCGUGGCGGGGAAACAGGACAUUUACUUU